AUGUUAGGUGAUAAAGGGAUCAUAAUUGAAAAUUAUAACAUGGGACUUCUGGUCACUUGUUUCAUUGUAUUUCUUUAUUUUAUAAAAACACAUUCAACAGUUAUUAAAUCCUCUCCUCCUAUGCAUCAGUACCUAAGGGAGACAACAAAGAAACAGAUGUUACCAGGUGGCAUGUAUGUAUAUGCGCUUUAACUUAAAUAUUUUAUGUUAACUGCCUAAUGCCUAUUCCAUGAACCCCGUGUUGGGAAGUACUCAAGUGCAGGGAACAGAAUCAACUUUAGCUAAUUUAAGAAGAAGCAGUGUUAUUAUAAAUUCCUAAAUGGUUUAUACAAUCAUUGACAAAACUCAAAGGACAUUCAUUCUAGGAUUGAUUCCUAGAAAAGAGCCAUCCAGGGAGUUGAUUAUUCGGCCAUGAUUAGGUAAUUUCCCUGUUGAAUUAGGAACCCACUAAUGCCACUGUUAUUUCAGAGUCCUGCCACUUCUCUGAUGAUAUGGGACAGCAAAAUUAUCUGUAUCUCGCCUUAGUCUGUAAUUCAAGCCUUCUGCUCAUUCUUCUAAUUAACAAGACUAAAUCAUCUCUGAAAUCAUAUUUUGGAGAAUUUGAGGGAAAGUAAUCUCCAAUUUUAGCCUUUGCAAUAUAGAGAUGGAGUAGUAAUGGAUUGUGUGAGCUGACCUGCAAUACCUGGAAUGUACACAAAUCAUCUCUACCACUGGUGGCCAGGAAAAUUUUAUGUUCGAUGCAUGCAUAAUUUUAAUUUUUCUGAUAGCCACAUGAAAAAAGUAAAGUAAGUGAGAUUAAUUUUAGUAAUGAGUUAUUUGAUCCAAUAUAUCCCAAAUAUGACUAUUUUAACAAGGAAUCAAGAUAAAUUUAUAAAUGACAUGUUUUGCAUUAUUUUUUAUACUAAGCUUCUAAAGUUGGUGGAUAUUGUACAUGUGCAGCAUGUAUCUAUUAAGAGUAGUCACAUUUCAAGUGCUCAAUAACCACCUAUCGCUAGUGCCUACCAUAUCGGACAGCACAGAUGUAUGAUUUCCCAGUGUUCAUAUUUUACAUAUAUAUUCAGCAGAGCCCUUCCACUAAGUUCCUCUCAGCUUGAUGGUUUUUCUGUCUUUGAAAAUGUCUCUUAAGGCUGUUGCUUUCUUCAGAGUAAAAUGUUUAAUUAUAUGUGUCCUUGACUUCUGCAAGACCUCAAGUUCCUGAAGGUUAAGGAUUAUCUUGAUAAACAACAUGUGUCGUGGUGCAGUGGAAACAAAUCUGACUAGGAACCGUGAGGUUAUGGGUUCGAUCCCUGGCCUCGAUCAGUGGGUUAAGGAUCUGGUGUUGCCGUGAGCUGUGGUGUAGGUCACAGAGGCAGCUCGGAUUCUGUGUUGCUGUGGCUGUGGUGUAGGCCAGCAGAUAGACCUCUGAUUAGACCCCUAGCCUGGGAACUUCCAUAUGUUGCGGAUAUGGCCCUAAAAGACAAAAGAUAAAUAAAAAUAAAAAACAACAUAUGUCUUAUACAUUGUCAUG
rnacentral:lncRNA from 9 species